AUUGAACGCUGGCGGCAGGCCUAACACAUGCAAGUCGAGCGAGCGGCGGACGGGUGAGUAAUUUCUGGGAAACUGCCUGAUGGAGGGGGAUAACUACUGGAACCGGUAGCUAAUACCGCAUACCAUCAGAUGUGCCCAGCUGGGAUGAGCUAGUCGGUGGGGUAAUGGCUGACCUAGGCGACGAUCCCUAGCUGGUCUGAGAGGAUGACCAGCCACACUGGAACUGAGACACGGCCCAGACUCCGACGGGAGGCAGCAGUGGGGAAUAUGGCACAAUGGGCGCAAGACUGAUGCAGCCAUGCCGCGUGUGUGAAGAAGGCGUUCGGGUUGUAAAGCACUUUCAGCGGGGAGGCGUUACUCGAAGAAGAAGCACCGGCUAACUCCGUGCCAGCAGCCGCGGUAAUAC
rnacentral:rRNA from 1 species